CAGCGGGGCGCUGAGGCGGAGGCGAGCGGGGAGCAGAGGGAAGGCGGGAGACAGCGGGCAGCGCCAGAGGAGGAGGACGCGGGAAGAUGGAGCUGCCCACGGCCUGCAGUCCGUGCCUCUCUGCCCGCGCGGGGACCACACAGUUGGAGAGGCUGCCGGGCACCGGCGCGGGCGAUGCUCAGCAUGGACCUCCGGCCGGCCAGCCUGGGCUUGUUUUCCCGGUAGUACUGGGUUCUGAGAGAGAGUAACUGCAUGGAAGGCCUUGAAGACUGGGCUUGGGCCUGCUGUACCCACAUGACUGCUUCUGCCACGUUCUACUGGCCAAGCUCUAUGGGCAGCUCAGACACAAGGGAAGAGACUCUGCUGCUUCCUGGGAGAAGCUGCAAGACCACAUUGCGAAGGAACAUGUUGUUGCUGCUCCCAUGUUACCUUCGUCAGUGACCUGAGAUGCAGACUGGAUCUAGGGAAUGGUGUUUCCUGUGUGAUGCCUUCCAGGAGUAUCUGCACCACGGGCAGUGCCAGGCCGAGGACAGAGGGCCUAAUGGAGGACACUCUACAACUCCAUCCUGCUGCUGGGGGGGCUUGGGGGCGCCUCCACGAGGGUCUUCAGAGGAAAGGCAUGUGUGUGGUCUGUGGCCUGCCAGCAGGAGAGCUGGGGGAGGCCGGCAUCUUGAGGCUGUUGGCAGCAAGUGCAGGCAGAGGCCUCGGGCCAGAGGGGAGGUGGCAGGGCUCAGGUGCCCUGUGCUUCCUCGGAGAAGGCACUUGGGAUGAAGGCUUAGUCCUGCCUGGUAAACCUGGAGGCCUGUGAACACUGGGGUUAGCCCCAACAAGGGAGGAGGUUCCCGCUGCCUCACUAAGAACAGCCUGCUGCUACACUCACCCUGACAGCUGCUCCGCUCCCAGUGAACCCCACCCCGAGAAGGCUCAUCGGGGCCACGGACCUCCCUCAGCGCUGCAUUCAGAAUCCCUCAGGAGUUGUAAACUUCCUGAUUUCUGGACCCAUCACCAGAGCCCAACGUCACGGGUAAGGGUUAGGGCCUGGAUGUCAGGAUUCAAUUUGGAGAAUUCCCCGGGGCAAUUCCACCAUUGCAGACACUGAAACGGAGCUGGGGCAGAAGAAUCACACCAGGUGGCUCGAGCUGAGCGGCUGGGAGUGUGGCAGUGAAGACACUGAGUGUCCGUCAGGGAAGAUGGCUCUGGGUACAACAGCGUGCCCAGCCCCUUAGAUAUUCUCUGCACGGAAGUGGCCCCACCCUGAAGCGCGUGUGCAGUGACUGUUCAUGCUUCUGUGUGUGUGCAGGAGUAGUUUGGUUGGAGUGUGCAUAUGCGAAUGUGUGUGUAUGGAAGUCUAUCUAUCUGUAAUGUAAAGCAGUUGCGUAAUGCAAAUGUGUGUGUAUGGACAUCUAUCUGUAAUGCAAAGCAGUUGCGUAAUGCAAAUGUGUGUGUAUGGAUGUCUAUCUAUCUGUAAUGUAAAGUUCCCAAGUAUUGUGUAUAUCAUUGUUUGAGUUUUUAAAUUCUAAGAUAAUUUCUAGAGAAAAAGAUGUACGGGUGAUUCCUGGUGAAAAGCAGGGACCGUGGGCCUCAUAUUGAGACACAUUUCACGCUGUUUAGAUUGUAAUGGCAAUUAUGUAUGACUUUUGUACGUUUUUUAAAAAGCCAAUAAAAUACAUUUUAAAAUGUGGAA
ensembl:lncRNA ADAMTS16-DT ADAMTS16 divergent transcript